rnacentral:lncRNA from 10 species
CCUGGGCACCUGGUGGGAUUGCAUUCACAGUUCCUCAAAGUGACCAAGUGAUUUGCAUUGAGCAUUGAAAGAUAUCCCCCUGGGGCACCGGCCUAGAACAGAGCAACAAAUAUUUACUAAUUCCAUUAACAGAAGAGAGUUGGAAUUUUUUUUUCCCAAGCGAAUAUCCGAGGCCCCAAGUUCAUGGUGAGCCCUCUCCCCCGCAUGGCCCCCUCUCCCCCCACCUCCUCCCUACACGCCCAGGACUUAUAUAUAGUUCACUCAGUGCCAUUUCCCCAAUUUUUUUCUGAAGUUCAAGACAAGUUGAAGGGUCAAAAAGGCAAAGGGUGUUUUAGAAGUUUAGCAGACAGCUUUUGGUACAAGGAAAAGAGAGGGAGAGCUGGAGAGAGGGAAACAGGGUGAAGAGGCAGGAAUCUGGCUCGCAUUAAGCUGGGAGGUUCCAACCAUUGAUUCGCUCUGGAAUUAUGGCUUAAAAAAAUUGCAAGACAUGGUUUAUUCAUGAGGGUUCUUUUUUUUUCUUAAGUAGCCACCCAAAGUUACACUUUGGUUCACCAAGACGAAGACUCAUCCUUCCUCUCUCUAUGGAUCUUUCAGAUGAAGAAAUUAAGGCUCAGGAGGGAGGAAAAAAAUAAAAGAAAGAAUUGUCCAAGGUCACCAAGGCAUCUGGACUCCCAUAUGUUGAGCUACUUCUGCUUGUGGGGCAGCUGCAAUACAUGAAUUCUUCACUACGUGCAACCAUGGAUACCAGGACCAUAAAGUGCCUUUGUCUUGGGGUCACUUCGAGAAAACAUUGUAGAUCCAGGGGCUCUGAGCUGAAGAGGAAAAACCAUCAUAGUGUUCU